rnacentral:lncRNA from 1 species
UUUCAUCCAAAAACGUUUUACAAUCUGUUUUGUUUUAAAGUUUCUGUUUUGUUUUCAAUUUUCGUCCAAAACAAGUCCCCCUUUAUUUUGAAGUCUUAGAUUAGUUAGAAUAUGUUUUGAUUUGUGUUUCUAAGUGUUUUGAUUCAAGUCUUCACCCAAUUUCGUCCAAGUUCUUGUUAGGUUCUCAAAACUGCCCAGAAAGUGGUUUUAGGCAGUUUUGAGUCAUUAGGUUGCUGUUUUGAGUUUUGUGUUUGUUCAAGUGUUUUAAACUUUAGUUUUGCAUUCUUUGAGUCUAGUUUAGUGUUUUAAACUUUGUUUUUAUGUUUUUAAGUCAGUUUUCAAGUGUUUAGCAAUCCCUCCUAAUCCCCGGUCUAGAACGAUCCCUACUUACAUCUUUACUACAAUUUGACAAAAAGAGGGUUUAAUUUGUGUGCUUAUCUAUUUCGCAUCAGA